CAGCUGGACGGGUGUCUAGCAGGUUGCGCGCGUUUGUCUGCACCGACUACUAUUUUUAACGCUCCUUAAACCGAUAACUUGGCGCGUUUACGUAAGCACGAUUUUCGCUUGAUUUCACGGAAUAUCAGUCAGCGGUAAGAGUCCGCGAGCGUUGCACGGAUGUGCCGAUAUCAUCUUCGAUUCCUAAGAAACGUAAUUUGAAAGAAUAGCAAAGAGACAUCGAUGAAAACUCAAGGCGACCGGUAGUUUCUUUCUCGCUUCACGCUCAAGGAGAGAGUUUGAAGGUUUACCAAACAUCGAUGAGUAUUUUACAUAAAACUAUCAAAGAUUUCUCACCUGAACGACUGGUUUUCGGUAAUGCGGAACUUGUUCUUGUUAAGCUGAGCCUGGACGUGCAUCCGGCACAUGGCAAACAGAAAAACGACACAAUAAUGAUUCGCGAUUUGCACCCAAUUCCUUUCUAAACGCUCAAUUAGACGCUUUCCAUUCUACCUGAUUCUCGUAGAUAUCGUAAUCCUGCGCCGUAACGUCCUGGUUUAGGUUGUAUUUGUCCGCUUCAUUCACCGCGACCUUCUUUGGCUUUUGGUAUUGUUUCGUGUUUACCUCGCUGAUCUUGACACUCGGUUGAACGGGCACUGAUUGAUUCACGGUAUAUUGGUUGUAAUCUAACCGGAAAAUACCAUCCAUUACUUUUAUAGUA
rnacentral:misc_RNA from 1 species